rnacentral:misc_RNA from 1 species
GCUGACUUUAGGUGAACAGGGCAGGAUGGAUAAAGGGUGUUAUCGGAAAUCUAUAAAUACAAAUUACAAUGAUUUUAUUGUUUAUUAAAUUAAAAUUAAGAAUAUCUUAAGAUAUAAAAUUGAACGUCCUCGAAGCUGAGAGCGCUGACAAAAUUUACCCAUUUUUGUGGAGAACUGACUGAUCUCACCCAGCGUCAACGUCUCGUCCGUCAGGCAAGCGUACAAUGUAGACCGUGGACCAUCAAGCAAGGUCAUGUAGGCAUGAAUGGGCCAGACUGAAACCCCAAGUUAGCUCAUUUGAAAUAACAGACUCCAGUCCAGCCCAAAUUCCUUUUUAUCUGUGUUAUUAUUCUGGCCUCAUGCAAUUGCUUUGCUAGUUUGCUCCUAUGCAAUGGCAUCAAACAUACCCUUCACUUACCUGUAAUAUGCUCCAUAUUAGCUAUUUUGGCAUCUGAAAUGGGUAAACUAUUACUAUUCCUACUGUUCAGAUACCCUAACAAAACAGAUCUCACCAUCCAGACAACUGAAUGAAACAUUAUUAUAUCACAAGUAGUAACCACAAAACAUUCAGCAUUCCCAGCAAAUUAGCAGAUUUCAAAAUAUAAGAGAUACUUCUUAGAAA